rnacentral:rRNA from 1 species
AGUGAACGCUGGCGGUAGGCCUAACACAUGCAAGUCGAACGGCAGCACAGUAAGAGCUUGCUCUUACGGGUGGCGAGUGGCGGACGGGUGAGGAAUACAUCGGAAUCUACUUUUUCGUGGGGGAUAACGUAGGGAAACUUACGCUAAUACCGCAUACGACCUACGGGUGAAAGCAGGGGAUCUUCGGACCUUUCGCGAUUGAAUGAGCCGAUGUCGGAUUAGCUAGUUGGCGGGGUAAAGGCCCACCAAGGCAACGAUGCGUAGCUGGUCUGAGAGGAUGAUCAGCCACACUGGAACUGAGACACGGUCCAGACUCCUACGGGAGGCAGCAGUGGGGAAUAUUGGACAAUGGGCGCAAGCCUGAUCCAGCCAUACCGCGUGGGUGAAGAAGGCCUUCGGGUUGUAAAGCCCUUUUGUUGGGAAAGAAAAGCAGCAGGUUAAUACCCCGCUGUUCUGACGGUACCCAAAGAAUAAGCACCGGCUAACUUCGUG